GCCCGGUUAGCUCAGUCGGUAGAGCACGUGCAUGGUAAGCACGAGGUCGUCAGUUCGAAUCUGACACCGGGCUCCA
rnacentral:tRNA from 1 species